rnacentral:rRNA from 1 species
UACGAAGGGGGCUAGCGUUGUUCGGAAUUACUGGGCGUAAAGCGCGUGUAGGCGGCUAAGUAAGUCGGGCGUGAAAUCCCACGGCUCAACCGUGGAAGUGCACUCGAAACUGCAUAGCUAGAGUCCUGGAGAGGAAGGUGGAAUGCUUGGUGUAGAGGUGAAAUUCGUAGAUAUCAAGCGGAACACCGGUGGCGAAGGCGGCCUUCUGGACAGUGACUGACGCUGAGACGCGAAAGCGUGGGGAGCAAACAGG